GAGAGGAGGAUCAAGGGACCCAAAUCUUCUAAAAUGAGCAAGUUCCCCCCCGCACCAAGCGCAACGAAGUCGACCUUCACCAGCAUGAUAAAAACCGGCACUCACCAAUUCUUCACGGGACACUGAAGAAUCCUGUAUACGAUGAUCAUGGUCACGGGAAAUGUGGAGAAAAAUUAGGUGGAAUCUAAAAAACAUUACAUAAUUCCCAAAAACAAUAAAUAUAUAUUUUUUAAAACGACUUGAAUAUAAUAAUUAGUUAUUCCUGUAUAAUCUGUGUUAUGUCAAUGAAUUUCUUUACUAUAUCAUAGUUUAUGGUUAUUAAAGUGAAUGAGUUAAAAACAAAGUUUUAAUUUGCAAUGUGUUUAAGGUAAACACUCCACAAGGUUAUCUUAAGUAGUACAGUAUGUGAGGUCACAUGUCUAACAGUUUAUUUACUUAUUGGAGGUCAGACUGUAUGUACACUAAUAUUGUUAUGAAAUAUUUAUAAAUGUAUGACUGUUUAUGGAAAUAAAUAUUAAUAUUACAUCUUAAUACUGUAUAUUAUACAUAAAUAAUGAUGAUAAGUUCUUAUACAUAAAUAUGGGUAAUUAAAAUUUCCUACAACUUACAUCAUUAUAAUCAUACCAAUUCACAAAAGACAAAAGUCUCAGUGAGUCACUCUUAUACAUUUCGUCCUCUUCGGUCAAUCCGUAAUCUUGGGAUUGCUCUUCCUCAAUUUCUGAUGGUCGGUUAGAUUGAACAGAACACUCACGACCUAACACUAACGGUACGUUACCUGAUAAAACAGGAUUAACUACGAACGCGCAAUUCGGUUCUAACGUUCUAUGCCUCCACAUCACUUGGUCUGCGUAAUUCCAUUCAGAUAUUUUACGCCCGCAACUAAAACACUGAACUUCGGUCCCCUGACCAGUGUAGAAAAAACCCGCCUUAGCUAUCCUCGCUGGUUCCACUGGCGCUGAGGUUGG